CACUCCUCCUCCUUCUUCUUCUUCUUCUUCGUAGUCUUCUUCUUCCUCUUGCUGGCUGCUGCUUCACCCACUACCACAUCGCCGCCCCACGCCCUACUCACCACCAUCUCUUGGCCACCGAACCACCACCACCCACCGCUCGUCCGACGAGUCGUCUCGCUGUUGAGCCCGACGAGCUGUCGCGCUGUCCGUGUUACCCCUCGCCGCCGUGAGCUGCCGCCGCCGUCUCCAAGCCACCAUCACCACCUCUUGCCGCCGCCACUCGCUCCGCCGUCCGGGCCGUCGUUGCUUCGAACCGCCACCGCCUCCGCCAGAACCGAGCUCUUCCCCCCUUGGCCGUGGGUUGAGCCGCGAUCGCCGCCGUCUUCGCUGCGCCGUUCGUGCCGCCGUUGGUGCCGUGAGACUCGUGUCUUCGCCGCUGUCGCCGUCGCCGCGUGCUUGCCGUCGCCGGACCUCCCUUGAAGAUCGAUCUGGCUACAAACGACUCGAUGGCGAAGUGCCGGUGGCCGAGCUUUGCGAACCUCGCUCGCGGCUCGAUGAAUCGGAUGGCAUGUCGCCCUAAUUCCUUAAAGUAAAUGAUCUCUUGGGGUGCUUGAUGUUUAGGUAUGGACCCUUUGGAGAGGAGGUUUCGAGAGUGCUAGGCGGUGGUCUUGUGCCAGGUUCCUUAAUUUUGGUGGGAGGUGAUCCUGGUGUUGGCAAGAGUACCCUGUUGCUGCAGAUGGCUGCAAUGAUUGCUGAAGGGCAUGAUCUUGGGAGAUCGGCUCCAGUAGUAUGUCUCUGGGGAAGAGCCAGAGGUACCGAAAAUGGAGGGCCAAUAUUGAAUUAUUUCGGCUUUUGGAUAUUCGCGCUCACUACGAAAAUGAAACCCAAAAAAAAAAAAAAAAACC